CUCACUCCCAGCCAUGGAGAGCCCAGACCCCGGGAAGCUCCCUACCAUCACCUGGCGCUGAGGGAAGUCAUAAAGGCCUGGCAGGUCCGGCUGGACGGCCAGGGGCACCUGAAACUGGCUCAUGAUGCUGCCAGAGGUGGGGUCAUAGGUGCUGGGGCAGAACCACAGUCGUUUCCUGCCACCUCCAAAGGCCACCAACAGGUCCUUCUCGCCUAGAACAGUCAAGAGUCUACAAGGGUGAAGGCAAGUGGCUUCAGUCUCGUGGAUGGAUGCCUCUUCUCAACCCCUCUUCACCUCCUCUGCAGCAGUCUGAUCGGACUCCGUAGGGGGCCACUCUCCCACCUGCUGGGGCCCAGGAUCUGGGGGAGGACACCAGCAGCAGCCCUCAGAAAAGGGAUCAUCUUGGCCCGGGUCUGGACGCUGGAGAAGGCAGUGCUGCCUGAAAAAGACAGAAAGGGGAAGCGCAUCACUCGGGGCUCAGGGACAACUUUCACGUGUCACUUCUUCCUGUUUCUGGGAAGAGAAAAUGGGGGAAGAGAUGGGGCUUGCUCAAUUGAGGUCCUGCCCAGAACCUCAGGCAGGACGCACCCAGCACCCGCUCCCUGUCUGAGGGAGGCGGCCUCGGGCCUGAGGGCUGCUGGGGGCCCUGGAUUCAAGGGGGUGAUCAAGGUGAGAUUUCUAAGAAAGUUGCCCUCUUCCCCACCCCCACGGGCUGGUGAGAGUUUCACCAAAAUUCCCCCACACGCCCUGGCUGGAGGCCGCCGGGCCCUCCCUAGGGAGCUGAGCUUUCAAAAUAAAGUUUGCUGAGAGCCUCGCUCGGCGGGACUGCCCCGGCGCCCCCGGCACGGAAGCCGCCUGGAGGUGGG
rnacentral:lncRNA from 1 species